GAUAUUUAUGUACUGGCAGAUGGGGGUUUUUUUUGUUUUUUUUUUAACAUUCAAAUGCAUUUUUUUUUAAUAUUCAAAUGCAUUUUGUGCACAAUGACAUAGAAAAGCACAUCUCAUCGGCGUCCGCACCGCUGUAGCACAUCUGGUGAAGACUCUAUAUGCAGACAGGAGCUGUCCCAUCGUUAUAAUUACUCCACCUCUAUGAGAGGCGGUAGCUGUGUCAGCAGGAAAGUGUCUCCCACCGACAUAGCACUGUCCACGUCGGCACUUAGGUCGCUAAUGCCUGUGGUCAUCUGGCUUUGAAAAAUCCUGCUUUUCAAACCAGCAAUUUUCCUUGUUUACGCAUUAAAAGAAACAGAUGCUGCACUUUAUCGUUGGCAUGGCCCUACUAUGGAGGAAAGACACAGGUAGAAGAGGAAGAGCCUGAUAGUUGUAUGAGAAACUGGGAAAGUCUAAAGCUUUGAGGCAGGAAAGAUGGCUAAAAAAAGUUCACUAACUGACAGAUGGUGUGUCUUGCCAUAAAAUGCUUCCUCAUAGUGUCCUCAGCAGAGAGAAUAGUUGCUUAAUGGCCAUGGGAACUGAGCUACCCUGAAAUGAAGUCCCUUCAAGAAAAGGCUGAGUCAUACACCCCCAAGGCAGCAGGGGGUAAGCGUGCAUAACAGUUACUUGUACUGUACCUUGUUUGUGGCUAGGACUAGGACAUGGAUAUAUAGUGC